AUCAAACUAUGUUCUGAUAGUAUAUCAGGCUAUCAAUAACAUUAUAUCACUGAUCAAUAGGCUCUGCAUUAAACCAAAACUCUUUCUGAAGUGAGAAUCUCUUCUUUAUCUGCCAAAAUUCAUGAGGAAGAAACACCAGGUUACCUUGACUUAUGGACAUAGAUCCAUGGAUAUGAACUCUGAAUUGCAUAAUCAUGCUGAAUGUUAACAGUUACUAACAAUGAGUUAUCAAAGCUGAGUAACACUCAACAACCUUAUACAUAAUUGAGUCACCUUACUUCUGCCAAGGCAUAGAGAGGGUACUGGAAGAGUAUCAGAAUGUACCAGAGAUUCCUGGAAGAAUCUUUAGAACUUGCUGCAUGCUGAAAAGACAGCCUGAGGACAUGAAAGAAUUAAAGAAUGACUGUGAAGUGAAAAAUAACCACAGCGUAACAUUUGGAUGGAAAGAAAAAUGGCUAAAACGAGGCACAAUGAACAGUGAGCCAAGGACUCUGUGAGGGAGAAGAAUCCAUGGGUUAUUAGAAGCUGUGACAUAGUGACUGUGUAUUACUUGACUGGGUGUAUCACUGAAGAGAACCUGCAAGUUUCAGCAUCUUCAUCAUUAUCAUUGCCAGCAUCAUCAACAUAAUCACUAUCACUUACACUCACACACUUCUUAUCCGCUAUGACUGUAGAGUAAUAUAGCCUUCACAUUGUUUCCACAUACUAUGCUCAUUUGCUUC